rnacentral:rRNA from 1 species
UACAGAGGUCCCAAGCGUUGUUCGGAUUCACUGGGCGUAAAGGGUGCGUAGGCGGUCAGGCAAGUCUGGUGUGAAAGCUUCGAGCUCAACUCGGAAAUUGCAUCGGAAACUGCUUGGCUAGAGGUGUGGAGGGGGGAUUGGAAUUCUCGGUGUAGCAGUGAAAUGCGUAGAUAUCGAGAGGAACACCCGUGGCGAAGGCAAAUCCCUGGACACAUCCUGACGCUGAGGCACGAAAGCUAGGGGAGCAAACAGGAUUAGAUACCCUGGUAGUCCUAGCCCUAAACGGUGCACGUUUGCUGUAAGAGGAAUCGACCCCUCUUGUGGCGAAGCUAACGCGUUAAACGUGCCGCCUGGGGAGUACGGCCGCAAGGUUA